rnacentral:rRNA from 1 species
UACGAAGGGUGCAAGCGUUAAUCGGAAUUACUGGGCGUAAAGCGUGCGUAGGCGGCUUUUUAAGUCGGAUGUGAAAUCCCCGGGCUCAACCUGGGAAUGGCAUCCGAUACUGGGGAGCUAGAGUUUGGGAGAGGGUGGUGGAAUUCCCGGUGUAGCGGUGAAAUGCGUAGAGAUCGGGAGGAACAUCAGUGGCGAAGGCGGCCACCUGGCCUAAAACUGACGCUGAGGCACGAAAGCGUGGGGAGCAAACAGGAUUAGAAACCCUUGUAGUCC